rnacentral:sRNA from 1 species
GCCGGCCGCCUUGGCAUGGUUGAUCGACUCGAUCGUCUGCGGCAUCACGCUGUCAUCGGCCGCGACGACGAGGACGGCGAUGUCCGUCGCCUGGGCGCCGCGGGCGCGCAUGGCCGU